rnacentral:rRNA from 1 species
CCCAGACUCCUACGGGAGGCAGCAGUGGGGGAUAUUGCACAAUGGGGGGAACCCUGAUGCAGCGACGCCGCGUGGGUGAAGGAGCGUUUCGGCGCGUAAAGCCCUAUCGGCAGGGAAGAAGGAGGACGGUACCUGACUAAGAAGCCCCGGCUAACUACGUGCCAGCAGCCGCGGUAAUACGUAGGGGGCAAGCGUUAUCCGGAUUUACUGGGUGUAAAGGGGGCGCAGACGGCAGCGCAAGCCAGGAGUGAAAGCCCGGGGCCCAACCCCGGGACUGCUCUUGGAACUGCGCGGCUGGAGUGCAGGAGGGGCAGGCGGAAUUCCUGGUGUAGCGGUGAAAUGCGUAGAUAUCAGGAGGAACACCGGUGGCGAAGGCGGCCUGCUGGACUGCGACUGACGUUGAGGCCCGAAAGCGUGGGGAGCAAACAGGAUUAGAUACCCGAGUAAC